GACGAACGCUGGCGGCGUGCUUAACACAUGCAAGUCGAACGGAAAGGCCCUGCUUUUGUGGGGUGCUCGAGUGGCGAACGGGUGAGUAACACGUGAGUAACCUGCCCUUGACUUUGGGAUAACUUCAGGAAACUGGGGCUAAUACCGGAUAGGAGCUCCUGCUGCAUGGUGGGGGCUGGAAAGUUUCGGCGGUUGGGGAUGGACUCGCGGCUUAUCAGCUUGUUGGUGGGGUAGUGGCUUACCAAGGCUUUGACGGGUAGCCGGCCUGAGAGGGUGACCGGCCACAUUGGGACUGAGAUACGGCCCAGACUCCUACGGGAGGCAGCAGUGGGGAAAAUUGCACAAUGGGCGGAAGCCUGAUGCAGCAACGCCGCGUGCGGGAUGACGGCCUUCGGGUUGUAAACCGCUUUCGCCUGUGACGAAGCGUGAGUGACGGUAAUGGGUAAAGAAGCACCGGCUAACUACGU
rnacentral:rRNA from 1 species